rnacentral:rRNA from 1 species
GGGGAAUUUUGCACAAUGGGGGAAACCCUGAUGCAGCGACGCCGCGUGGGUGAUGAAGUCCUUCGGGAUGUAAAGCCCUUUCGACGGGAACGAUAAUGACGGUACCCGGAGAAGAAGCUGCGGCUAACUACGUGCCAGCAGCCGCGGUAAUACGUAGGCAGCAAGCGUUGUUCGGAGUUACUGGGCGUAAAGAGUAUGUAGGCGGUUGGGUAAGUUUGGUGUGAAAUCUCCCGGCUUAACUGGGAGGGUGCGCUAAAGACUGCCUGGCUCGAGUGUGGGAGAGGAAAGCGGAAUUCCUGGUGUAGCGGUGAAAUGCGUAGAUAUCAGGAGGAACACCUGCGGUGUAGACGGCUUUCUGGACCAUAACUGACGCUGAGAUACGAAAGCGUGGGUAGCAAAC